UGCUUCAAUAACUUCUACACUCUAAUUGGAAGAGAAAAUGUCAGUUUCUUCAUUUAUUGGAGUUUUGGUAAUCUUUGCUCUGGUCUUUGUUUUUGUUUCGCCUACUUUGCCUUUGUAUCGGCCGACUCCUCUUCCUGCUGUCAUCAAUAGUCAACCAUGUGAAAGUUUAAGCAAAACUUGGCACGGGAGAUGUAGGAGCACAAGAAACUGUGAUAGGCAUUGCAGGAAUCAGGAGAAGGCAGAUAAUGGGGCAUGUCAGGGGUUUUGGCAUAAAAAAUGCUAUUGCUAUACAUCGGAAAUGUGCCUGAAUACAAGACGAUGAAAACGCAUCGAAAGGUGUAAAAAGACUCCUUUAACAGUAGUUGUUGCAACUGAUGUUAGAGAAUAUACUCUCCGUAUACCGGGGAUUUGGUUUGAGAAAUAUAUUGUAAUUAUAAUCAAUCAAAUCUAAUUGAUUUGAUUGAUUUAUUUGUAGCAGAUUUGAUGGUAAUUAAUCAAAUCAAAUUGAUUGAUUAUCAUACUUAUCUACCCAAACUCUGCUAUAAAUAAGAGUUUAUUGUAUUGUGAAAUAAGAGUAAAAUGUAGCUUUUGGGGCUUUUUCCUGUGAACGUAGAUUAUAGACGGAACCACAUAAAAUAUCUUGUCUCUUUUCUAUUAUUUUGCUUUAUUUUAUUUUAGCUUUAUGUUUUCUUUCGACUGGCAUAAUAAAUGACAAUGUAAUCGAUGAAUAAACUAUGGAUACACAAUAUAAUUUUUCAUCUCUACCAUCUUAUCG